rnacentral:rRNA from 1 species
GUAGGUGGCAAGCGUUGUCCGGAAUUAUUGGGCGUAAAGCGCGCGCAGGCGGUUCUUUAAGUCUGAUGUGAAAGCCCACGGCUCAACCGUGGAGGGUCAUUGGAAACUGGAGAACUUGAGUACAGAAGAGGAAAGCGGAAUUCCACGUGUAGCGGUGAAAUGCGUAGAGAUGUGGAGGAACACCAGUGGCGAAGGCGGCUUUCUGGUCUGUAACUGACGCUGAGGCGCGAAAGCGUGGGGAGCAAACAGGGAUUAGAUACCCUGGUAGUCCACGCCGUAAACGAUGAGAGCUAAGUGUUAGGGGGGUUUCCGCCCCCCUUAGUGCUGCAGCUAACGCAUUAAGCACUCCGCCUGGGGAGUACGGCCGCAAGGCUG